rnacentral:lncRNA from 1 species
CGCUCUGUACACCUGUGAAUUCUCCUCUCAAUCUUAGGUACCCAUAAUUAUCAUUUACCCAUUUCUAUCUUCUCUCGUUUGCAACUCAAUCUCUAAAUUACUAUAUAUACACACAUAUAUAUAUGUGUUUAUAUAUGCAUACACAUAGGACCAUUCUGCACUUUCCGAAUUGAAGAUCGAAUAAAGUUUUGAUUUUAAUUAACAAACAUCCAACUUCAGUAUUUCGUGUGAUGAUAACAAUAGAUAGAGACGAACCAGUUGGAUUCAGAAACCUGUGUUCAUACCACCAAACCAUAGAUAUUAUCAGUCAUAAAUAAAAAGCUUUUUUUAAGUAUUAUAAUAUUAUUAAAAUAUAAUGUUAUAUGCUUAAAAAAUUAAAUUGUUAAUGUAAAAUUUAAGUAACAAUAAUUAUUAUGACCAUAAUUAUUUACGUAUUCUUAUACCAAGUCUUUCUAAUUAGAGGAAAGGAAAGCUUAAUUUUUAUUAGUUCAUUAAGUCAUUGUUGGAAAAAGUAGAUCCAAUCAUUCAGUCUUUUAAAUUAUUGUUGGUGAAUGUCAAAUUUUAUGGGCAAUAGAAUCCCAUCGUCAUUUGAGAAACCCACUUCUUAAUAUAUAUAUAUAUAUAAAUAUAUAUAUAUAUAUAUGUAUAUAUCAUUACUAUUAUAUUCUAUCUGUCUUUUACUAAAUACAGAUCCAGUUAACACACAUUUCUAUGGCAGCUUCACACGUUCAUUUAUCUACAGAAAAUUAAUGGUGUGACGAGAGAGUUUUCUUUGGAUCUACCGCAUGUAAUGAUACUACUAAUUAUUAUUAUUAUUAUUAUUCAUGCAUUUAUUCUGCGUUCUUAAUUACGACAAGAAAUACAAAAUCCAAUAUGGCAGAUGAGAUUAAGUUGAAAAGUCAUGCGGCGACUGGUCCGAGUCUCCGGCAAUGUCAAUGACGAAACGAUAUCGAACAUNNN